UACGAAGGGGGCGAGCGUUGUUCGGAAUUACUGGGCGUAAAGGGCGCGUAGGCGGCGACCCAAGUCAGAUGUGAAAGUCCUGGGCUUAACCUGGGGACUGCAUUUGAUACUGGGUUGCUUGAAUUCGGGAGAGGGAUGUGGAAUUCCAGGUGUAGCGGUGAAAUGCGUAGAUAUCUGGAGGAACACCGGUGGCGAAGGCGGCAUCCUGGACCGGCAUUGACGCUGAGGCGCGAAAGCCAGGGGAGCAAACGGG
rnacentral:rRNA from 1 species